UGUAUAUGCUGUAAUGAUGGAAUUUCUUUUUGGAAUAUACAGGAACUAAGUGAAAACAGAGAUUCCCCUGAAAUUAGCCUUCUUGCAGGUACUGCUAUUACAGUAUCUGGUAUGCUUGCUGUAAAGGAGAAAUCAUUAACAGAGCAAGAGAAGAUCUUAGCAGUACCACAUGCAUUUUCUGAACCUGGGAAGGAAGUUUCAAUGACUAUGACUUCUAAAGAAGCCAAGGAUGAAGAAAGCUCCCUUGAAACUUUUGUAUCUGCCUUAGAAAGGUUGCUAACAUCACCAGACAGCACCCAGGAGGAAAGACUGUUAGAAAUAAUGAAUGAUUUUGAUCCCGGAGAAUUGAUUAACUCCCCAAGUUCCAUAGAAAUACCUUUGAAUGCUUCAUCAGCUUAUAGCAGAGAUUUGCUAGAAAACACAAAGGAUGAUACAUUACCUGCAGAGUUAUUGGCAGCCCUGAACACAUUGUCAGAAACCAAGCUGGGACCCAUCUGUCACAGAAUAGAGGAAGGCAGCAAUCUUAGUGAUGAAAAUGGAUGUUUAGAAGUAGAGCCUGUUAUGUCCCAAACUGAUGAAGAUUGUACACAAAUAGCAGAGGUGAAUUUUUAAUCUCUUCAUUCUACUCUAUCAUUAGAGCAAAGUUCCAAC
rnacentral:lncRNA from 1 species